UGCCGCUUUACAGACAUUCAAUGGGAAACUACGAGUGACUCAGUGUGUGAAAAUCGUCUUGCUUCACGAUUAAAUACCUCUCACAACGAUUGACGAAUAUUUUCUAGUAGGUAUACUAGUUGUGUAGGGACCGACUUAAGGUAAUUAAUAGAAUUAUUUUUAAUUUUAAUUUUAUCAAAAAUAAACACUGAAAAAAACCAUUGAAACAAAUCUGGGUUAGUUAUGGUAUAUAGCUUGCAUCGUCAUAAAGUAGAUAUUAUCUAUUACGUAAAAUAUAAUUUUU